rnacentral:misc_RNA from 1 species
GCUGAUUACAAGUAUCCUUAUUUCUCUGAGAAUAGCUUCGAGAAUAACAGUGCACAAGAUGCUAACCCUGACUUGUUCAUGGGUGCGGAAGAGCACAUGACUAACUCAUCUGGCAUAGAUGCGGUAAAAUCUGAUGCAUCGGACAGAAAAUCUCCUCCACGUGUAAUCCAGGGUGUAGGUUCUCCAGACAGAGUCCGAUUUGAAUUGCCUGGAGAGGCAGAACAUACUGAAGAAGCAGACAAGUUGCUGGAAGGACUUGGUCCUCGCUUUACCGAUUGGUGGGGUUGUGAGCCACUGCCUAUUGAUGCAGAUCUUUUGCCAGCUAUAGUCCCCGGGUACAAGAGACCUUUCCGUCUACUUCCUUAUGGAGUAAAACCUAAAUUGACAAAUGACGAAAUGACAACACUGAGGAGACUUGGUCGACCUUUGCCUUGCCAUUUUGUAUUAGGAAGAAACAGAAAACUUCAAGGAUUGGCUGCUGCAAUUGUGAAGCUAUGGGAGAAAUGUGAAAUUGCAAAAGUUGCUGUCAAAAGAGGAGUUCAGAACACUAACAGUGAACUGAUGGCGGAAGAGCUAAAGUGGCUGACUG